UACGAAGGGGGCUAGCGUUGCUCGGAAUUACUGGGCGUAAAGCGUGCGUAGGUGGUGAGUUAAGUCUGUCGUGAAAGCCCCGGGCUCAACCUGGGAAUGGCGAUGGAUACUGGCUCGCUAGAGUGCGGUAGAGGAAAGUGGAAUUCCCGGUGUAGCAGUGAAAUGCGUAGAGAUCGGGAGGAACAUCAGUUGCGAAGGCGGCUCUCUGGACCAGCACUGACACUGAGGCACGAAAGCGUGGGGAGCAAACAGG
rnacentral:rRNA from 1 species